rnacentral:rRNA from 1 species
AGUAACAACCAUUUGAGUCUGGGAUUUCUGAAUGGGGAAACCCACGUGCAUAAGCACGUAUCCUUACCUGAAUACAUAGGGUAAGGAGGCGAACCGGGGGAACUGAAACAUCUAAGUACCCCGAGGAAAAGAAAUCAACCGAGAUUCCGAAAGUAGCGGCGAGCGAAAUUGGACUAGCCCUUAAGCUUUACACGCGUUAGACGAACGGUCUGGAAAGUCCGACGAUACAGGGUGAUAGUCCCGUAGUUGACGACGUGUGUUCAGUGAAAUCGAGUAGGGCGGGACACGUGAUAUCCUGUCUGAAUAUGGGGGGACCAUCCUCCAAGGCUAAAUACUACUGACUGACCGAUAGUGAACCAGUACCGUGAGGGAAAGGCGAAAAGAACCCCUGUGAGGGGAGUGAAAUAGAACCUGAAACCGUGUACGUACAAGCAGUAGGAGCAGGCUUUGUCCUGUGACUGCGUACCUUUUGUAUAAUGGGUCAGCGACUUAUAUUCAGUGGCAAGGUUAACCAUCUAGGGGAGCCGUAGGGAAACCGAGUCUUAACUGGGCGUUCAGUCUCUGGAUAUAGACCCGAAACCAGGUGAUCUAGCCAUGGGCAGGUUGAAGGUUGAGUAACAUCAACUGGAGGACCGAACCGACUAAUGUUGAAAAAUUAGCGGAUGACUUGUGGCUAGGGGUGAAAGGCCAAUCAAACCUGGAGAUAGCUGGUUCUCCCCGAAAGCUAUUUAGGUAGCGCCUCGGACGAAUACUACUGGGGGUAGAGCACUGUUAAGGCUAGGGGGUCAUCCCGACUUACCAACCCUUUGCAAACUCCGAAUACCAGUAGACAGCCAGGAUGUUGGCUUAGAAGCAGCCAUCAUUUAAAGAAAGCGUAAUAGCUCACUGGUCGAGUCGGCCUGCGCGGAAGAUGUAACGGGGCUAAGUAGUAAACCGAAGCUGCGGCAAUGU